UGCCUAUAGGUCACUUCCCUUCAAGAAUGGUGUUCAUGCAGCAAAAUCUCUAGGGCCGGCUUUUCAUCUCCCUCUUUUGCUUUACGUCGUCAUAAAAUAGGGCAGACAACUCAGAUAGAUUUAAACCAGAGUUGGAUUAGGAUAGGAGAAGGAAUCGUGCCUAAAUAAAGUAAUAAUCUUGUUAUUAGUUCCACCAGUUGAG
rnacentral:lncRNA from 1 species